AAAUAGAAAAAAAACUCUGAGCCAAAGUGAAAGCAAUGAAAAGGCAUGGCAUGCAAACAACUGCAGGGACACUCACAACAUACACCAAGCCUUGACAGAAUUGAUCCCCGCUGAAGGCCAAAACAAAUAAGAAGGACUUACAAACACUCUGGAAUGGAGAUAUGAUCAAAGGAAAUGAAAUUGGAAAAAAAAAAAAAGAAAAAUGGGAAAUUUGGUGACUACAAGACAGUGGUCUGGGCAGAAAGGAGGUGCGGUGUAAAGAAGCAAAAGAGGCCAAAUCUGUCCUUACUGGUGUUGCUAAUAAGGGAAAAAAUUAAGGAGGCAGACACAACAUGGAGAUGAAGAUAUGAAGGACAAAGCAUGGAUACUUAUAAAAAAAAAAAAAAAUCUCAGCCAAAGUGAAAGCAAUGAAAAGGCAUGGCAGGCAAACAACUGCAGAGACACUCACAACAUACACCAAGCCUUGCCAGAAUUGAUCCCCGCUGAAGGCCAAAACAAAUAAGAAGGACUUACAAACACU